UGCAGCUCCAGUUGCAAUAGACAACCCAGGAUUGAAGGCGACAUGGAGAGAAGUUGAAGCUACCUUGGCAACAUGUGACAAGUGGCACUCAUUCUUCUUGUCACGCUUGCUGCCUGUUCCUGCCAGCAAAUCUCCCAACAUGAAAAGGAUAGCAGACCUCUGCAGCCCCCACCUGUCUGGACACGACCUAUUCAAACAACUCUCUUCUCUCUGACCUCAUCUGUCCCAGUACCUUCUGCCCUUCUCAGUCCUUCAGCUGCUCAACGUCAGCACCCUCCCCAUCACAUCUGGGACGUCCUGUCUUCUCCUCACAGGUCACAUCAGAUGCCAGCAGCUGGAGUCUUCCCAGUAUCUCCCUACAAAGGAACUGUUCUGUUAAC